UCUUUUCAUCAAUGGCAUCGACGCUUGGGAGACAUCCUUCUUUUUCAGUAUUGGAGCCUUUAUUUCCAUCUUUAGUUAAGCAAUGUAACAAAACUCAAUUUUUAUGUGAAUCAUGUGAAUUCGGUAAACACAAACGUUCGACCUAUUCUGCUAUUAACAGUCGACAUUCUGAGCCUUUUGCUAUUAUCCAUACUGAUGUGUGGGGACCCUCUCGGGUUGUUCCCUGUUCUGGUUUUAGG
rnacentral:lncRNA from 1 species